AGAGUAAUAGCUCAGUGGUAGAGCAUGUGCUUAGCACGCACAAGUUCCUGGGUUCAAUCCCCAGUGCCUCCA
rnacentral:tRNA from 1 species